UGCAUUGAUUAAAUAAACUUACCUGUUACACAUUAAUAGCCUGUCAUGUCAUCUGUUAUUAACUAAACCCUGCUGAUUACAUACAGAUGGGUAGAGAACCUGAGCCUGGGCCUUUCUGGUACACUCACCCUUUUCUGUCUUGGCCUGAAUAAUUUGGGUCUUAGCCCAACAGUGGUGUAAAUCAGGAGUGACUCCACUGAGGUAAAUGGAAAUCCACUGGCCUAAAACUGAUGUAAGAGAGAUUGGAAUGAGGGGAAAAGGCAUUAAGGUGACCUGGCAGAUAAAGCCCUGGGCUAAGAUUUGGAAUACCUGGGCUCUAAUCCUGGAUUGGCCACUGCCCUGCUGAGUGACCUCAGGUAAGUCAUUUUUGUUUCAGUGUCCCCAUAUGUAAACUGGAGAUGAUGGUAUUUACCUCCUUUGUGAAGGCUUUGACCGCUACUGAUGAAGCAUGCUACAUAAGAGCUGGGUGUUAUUAAGCUAAUGGAGACCUCCACGGCUAUCACAAAACACAGAUAAGUGAGUUAUCAAGACUACACAACUCUUGGAAUUUGAUCCAUCUUUUACCCGAAAAUGUGUUGCUUCAGGCAUGAAGCUGGAGGAAAAAAAAGCAAGGAAAGGAGGAAGUAGCUUCUGCAUUUUUCUCUAAUCAGCCAUGCAUAUUGCUGUUGAAGGCGAGAGAGGAAGGUAAUAUGAGAAUGAGGCAUAAAGCCAGAUGAAAAAUUGUGUAAGACAUCUUUGUAUAACUGCCAUGGUUUCUAUUUAGCAGUGUUGAUUGAAUAGUAAAAAUAUAAAAUAAAAAAUGGGCUAGGAUAUUGUCUGCAAUCAUCACUGCACAACUGCUAUUGUUUAUGCUUGGUCUACUUAAUGGGGAAGCUAAUUACCAUGUGUUUGUUUUUUAUUAUGUUUGCAAUAUUGCAGGGAAAAGUGUUAUUUUUUCCCUCCAUGGGUUUAUAGAAAACAAACAAUACAAACAAAAAUAUGGUGGGGAAAACCAGCCUUAUUUCAUGCUCAUUUGGGCCCCUGUUUUUAUUUUUCAAUGUGGAAUUGGAAGGUGAGUUUAGAAUAUCUGGUGAGCUAACUAACCUGUCCCAAAGUGCAGUCACACUGGGUUGCUGCUGCCCUGAAUGUGGCAGGAUGCGGAAGAAAGUUGGUCUACAGUUACUGUAUUUGCAUUGUGUAAUGAGGGGUUAUUUUAUCUCGCACUUCACAUUUAGACUUAGGAAAAGAGACAAAAUAAUGACAUUGCUUCAGAAGGUGGCAGAUUGGGAACUUCUUAAUAGAAAGGCAGAGAUUCCCCAUAGAACCAACAGAAUGUGCCCACUAUGCCCCAACAAUGUGCCUUAUGUUUCUGAAGGUACCAUACAGUCUCUAGAUAUGGGUGGUUAGUUUAGUCUCCAUGCCCAUUCAGUAGUUGGUGGCUCUGUUGAGACUUUUACAAAGUUAGCACUAGGAACCUCAUUGAAACCACCAGCUCAUUUUUACAGAGACUAGUGAAUGAUCAUCAUACAAUACUGAUUCUUGCUUAUUAUUAAAUGGAGCUCAACUGAAACAAAAAAUUUACACGAGAAAGAUUCCACGUCACAAUCAACAAUCUGCCUGGCCUUCCAGAUGCCUCCUACUUUAUACUUCUGAAGCUUUUAUAGACUCAGUGUGCCCUUCAGCUCUCACAUGGUACAUGUUUAACAAGAAUUCAUUUUUGCACAGCCUUUUUAUUGUUCUAAAUACAUUUCCCAUAAGAAAAAAAAACUAAUGGCCUGCACCUUUAGUUAUUACAAACUAGAACAUUAUCCUGCUCCCUGGAAUAAUAUUCAAUUAGAGAAAGCAGAAAGUUUAUUUUUGAAACAAAACAGAGUUUUCAUUCAAGCUAGUUUAUCCCUUGCCUAACGCAGCUGCAUAUGAAAAGUGCCUCAUAACCUUUAACUAUAGCAUAACUACCAAAAUGCUGCUAUAUGACAAAUAUCACUGCAGCCAUGUCAACUCACAAUAAGCUAUCAUGUACCACGUGGGCAGUUAUGUAUGUUAGAGAUCAACGGCACAUGUGACAAACAGUGCUUAUUUGCCAAAACCUCAAGGAUUUAGUUUUUGAAUACUGAUUUAAAAAGUCCUCAGAACGUUUAUGAGAAAUAAAGCAUAUGAUCAAAACAAAAGCAUGUGACUGAAAUGUAGACAUUCAGAAUAACUUAUAAUCUCUUUGACUAAGCCAGUUACAACCACUAACAGGAAUUUUUCUCCUCUAACUUUUUCUCCUCCUGAAUUUUUCUCUAAAUUUUUCUCCUCCUGAAUCCCUUCCAAACUGCCUUUCCAUCCCUCCACUGCAUUGAAAGUAGACUCGUCCAAUUUUCUAAUGACUUCUUUAUGCACCGUUACCACUUUAGCUGAUGGGUCACACACCUUUCCACACUUGACCUUUUAUCCAGCCUCUCAUUUUGGACCAUUUCUCUGUCCUACCAGCCUUCAUGACUCACCAAUAAUUCAGACUAAGUAUGACCAAAAUCUUGCUCUUUCUUUUGAUGUCCUCUGCAUUUCUUCUCUUACUCAUUAUUGUGGAUGGCCACACCAUUUCCUCCAUCAUUCCUCUUGGUAUCACUUUUGACUCCUCCAGAAUUAUACCAACUCUAUCCAGAAUUAUACCAAGUCAUGCCACUUCUUCCUCCAUAACUUAUCAAAAGUCCAUUCUUCCUUUCUGUCCCAUGGCUAAAGCACUGUCUUUGUGAUAACGGUCUUUCAUCUUGAUUACUCCAAGCUCCUCCCCUGAGGAGCACUAGGUUCCAACUGUCUUCAGUCAGCAACAGCUAUAAUUACGCAUCUCCAUUCAAAAGCAGGACACGUUAUU